GACGAACGCUGGCGGCGUGCUUAACACAUGCAAGUCGAGCGGUAAGGCCCUUUCGGGGGUACACGAGCGGCGAACGGGUGAGUAACACGUGGGUGACCUGCCCUCAGCUCUGGGAUAAGCCUGGGAAACCGGGUCUAAUACCGGAUAUGACUCCAUGACGCAUGUUGUGGGGUGGAAAGCCUUGUGCGGCUGAGGAUGGGCCCGCGGCCUAUCAGCUUGUUGGUGGGGUGANGGCCUACCAAGGCGACGACGGGUUAGCCGGCCUGAGAGGGCGACCGGCCACACUGGGACUGAGACACGGCCCAGACUCCUACGGGAGGCAGCAGUGGGGAAGUCUUGCGCAAUGGGCGAAAGCCUGACGCAGCGACGCCGCGUGA
rnacentral:rRNA from 1 species